rnacentral:lncRNA from 1 species
AAUCACGAGAUCGUGGGAGGAAUGGCUUUGGGCCGUUGCGGAUUGAGCCAUUGUGACGGUCUUGCUCCUCGUGUGUUUGCCUCUGGCCAUGGUUGUUCAAAAGGCUUUGAUUGAAUGAAAAGAUGGAGGAAAUAAAUUCCUUUGAUUUAAGGGCACCCAUUGAGUAUAACUCCGGCCAUGGUUACACCAAAUGUUUGUGCAAAAAUCCUCUCAGGAGAAUAUUCGCUUUGUGAUUCUUCAACCUUUGAUCUUUCUUCUCU